AUUGAACGCUGGCGGCAGGCUUAACACAUGCAAGUCGAGCGGGGGAAGGUAGCUUGCUACUGGACCUAGCGGCGGACGGGUGAGUAAUGCUUAGGAAUCUGCCUAUUAGUGGGGGACAACAUCUCGAAAAGGAUGCUAAUACCGCAUACGUCCUACGGGAGAAAGCAGGGGAUCUUCGGACCUUGCGCUAAUAGAUGAGCCUAAGUCGGAUUAGCUAGUUGGUGGGGUAAAGGCCUACCAAGGCGACGAUCUGUAGCGGGUCUGAGAGGAUGAUCCGCCACACUGGGACUGAGACACGGCCCAGACUCCUACGGGAGGCAGCAGUGGGGAAUAUUGGACAAUGGGGGGAACCCUGAUCUAGCCAUGCCGCGUGUGUGAAGAAGGCCUUAUGGUUGUAAAGCACUUUAAGCGAGGAGGAGGCUACUCUAGUUAAUACCUAGGGAUAGUGGACGUUACUCGCAGAAUAAGCACCGGCUAACUCUGUGCCAGCCGCCGCCGUAA
rnacentral:rRNA from 1 species